GCCCUUGUGGCCUAAUUGGUUAAGGUGUAAUCUUCCGGCGGUUAUGAUUGCGGGUUCGAGUCCCGCCAAGGGUU
rfam:Candida tenuis ATCC 10573 unplaced genomic scaffold CANTEscaffold_00022, whole genome shotgun sequence.